rnacentral:rRNA from 1 species
CCUACGGGUGGCAGCAGUGGGGAAUAUUGGGCAAUGGGCGCAAGCCUGACCCAGCAACGCCGCGUGAAGGAAGAAGGCUUUCGGGUUGUAAACUUCUUUUCUCAGGGACGAAGCAAGUGACGGUACCUUAGGAAUAAGCCACGGCUAACUACGUGCCAGCAGCCGCGGUAAUACGUAGGUGGCAAGCGUUAUCCGGAUUUACUGGGUGUAAAGGGCGUGUAGGCGGGAAAGCAAGUCAGAGGUGAAAACCAUGGGCUCAACCUGUGGCCUGCAUUUGAAAAUGUUUUUCUUGAGUACUGGGGAGGCAGACGGAAUUCCUAGUGUAGCGGUGAAAUGCGUAGAUAUUAGGAGGAACACCAGUGGCGAAGGCGGUCUGCUGGACAGCAACUGACGCUGAGGCGCGAAAGCGUGGGGAGCAAACAGGAUUAGAUACCCGGGUAGUC